CUCCCACUUCCCGCUCGCAUCUACCAGAGAUGGUGAAGAAAGAUCCAGAAGCUGUGCGCUGCAAAGGUGUGAGAAGAAAUAGGUGGAACUCUCCACAUAAGAUCUUAAAGGCUGAUCAAAAAUGAGGAACACGAGUGAAGGACUCUGCAGGUCGAUCUGCAAAGCCCACUCAAGUUUCCAGAGCAGCUGGAACAUGAACAGAAGUGAAAUUUUGGCAAGAAAUUUGGGAACGGAUGUCACCAUAGACAACUCAGCAUGGCCUUUCUGAGUGGAUUCUUAAAAAGGAAGAUGCCCAUUGAAGCCUCAUGAUUCACUGACUGCAGCAGCGUGUGUGGUGUUUUCAAUCCAGGGGGUUCCAGUCUUUUGGAGGGUUUGAAAAGAUGCGGCCGUUUGUUCAGCGUGGAUGUUUGUCCAGGUGAGUGAGCCAGUGAGACGUUUACAUCACUGAGUGCUGCUGUGCUCAGCGGACCCUCUUUUUGUGCCACAUUCAGAUGC